GCAAAUCUGAUUUAUCACCAAUCAAGUUUUCAUUUUCAAGAUCUAAUCCCGAUCAACAGAAAGACACAUUUGAUAGAUCGAAUUUCACUGAGCAAGAAAUAAAGUCAAUUAAUCUACAAGUAUUGUCAGACUAUUCCCAUUUAAAUGAAGUGGUUAGUAAUUUGAGUGAUGAGCAAAAAAGAGACAUUAGGGAUAUUGGGUUUGGGAGUCUCUUAGAUAUUAGGAUAAAGAAGUUUUGUCCUAAUCUGAAUUUGGAGGUGUUGUUAAAUUACAAUGCAUCUGGAAUGAUGUUUUCAACAAAGAAUGGUAAACUGAUU